rnacentral:rRNA from 1 species
UACGAAGGGGGCUAGCGUUGCUCGGAAUCACUGGGCGUAAAGCGCACGUAGGCGGGUUGUUAAGUCAGGGGUGAAAUCCCGGGGCUCAACCUCGGAACUGCCUUUGAUACAGCACGUCUCGAGUCCGGAAGAGGUGGGUGGAAUUCCUAGUGUAGAGGUGAAAUUCGUAGAUAUUAGGAAGAACACCGGCGGCGAAGGCGGCCCACUGGUCCGGUACUGACGCUGAGGUGCGAAAGCGUGGGGAGCAAACAGG